CAGGACUGGCGCCUGCGGCAUUUUGUUAGCUAUGUGUUGUACGAAUGGGAGGUGACCCUGCCGGAGCAAUGGACCCAGGACCUGCGCACAAGAGUGGUGCUGAGGAUUGGCAGUGCCCACUCCUAUGACAUCGUGGUCAGUGCAGCCAGGAGCAGGCAGGGUGGGUGGGUGAGAAUGGCCGCCGACCAGCAUGGGACCCCUAGCAACCACCCACAGCCUGUCUUCUGGGGUGGGAUGGUGGGGGUGCCUGCUCUGCCCUGCCCUGGGGGCUAUGUCCUGUGUAGGGGGAUAGGUGGCCUGAUCUACCCCAUCGGGGUGCCAUUCUUCCCAUCUGCCUGGCAGGCCCCUGAGCCCCAUGCUGCAGGUUAUGUGAGGGAGUGCCCGAUAGCAGGGCCUCUCAUGCCCUGACCUGCCACCCCUUACCCAUAUCUCCUGUGUCUGCAGUGGGUGAAUGGUGUCAACACGCUAGAGCAUGAGGGGCUGACAUCAGCAGCAUGGUCCAGGGACAGGGUGGUCUUCGCAGAGUGGAGGCCCUGGAUCUGGGGAGGCUGGGGAGGCCUGUGAGCUGAAGUCAAAGGACCCAGGGCAAGGGCCCAGUGAACCACAGUCCUCCCACCCUGGGUAUCCCAAGGGUUGCUUUGUCCAGAACACAGACUGACAUCUUCAAGUACGCGG